rnacentral:misc_RNA from 1 species
UCCACUAUUCUUCAGUCCAACUAGAAAGACCCAUUCUCCACCGAAAUUGAUGGAGUUAUAAAUUUCCCAGCAAGAACAUUAAUAUGCACAUAACCAAGUUCAAUGGCAUUGAACUAUGCAUUUAUCUAACAAAAAACUGAAAAAAGAAAAUGAUGCAUCAACAUCAGAAAAGUUAUCUUCUUGUUUAGCCACUACUCUGCCGCCCUGCAGGCGGUGCAGCCUGUGUUGUAACUCUUAGCGUCCCUCCAAGUUCAACAGGAAUGAGUGGGACCAGAGAG